rnacentral:lncRNA from 10 species
CUGCCUCAGGCGCCCAAGUAGCUGGGACUACAGGCGCCCGUCACCACGCCCGGCUAAUUUUUUGUAUUUUUAGUAGAGACGGGGUUUCACGGUGUUAGCCAGGAUGGUCUGGAUCUCCUGACCUCGUGAUCCGCCUCGGCCUCCCAAACUGCUGGGAUUACAGGCGUGAGCCACCACCCCCGGCCGCAGAAAUAUUUUAAUGCCAUUUUAGAAGGUGACUCAGAAGGUUGCUGGUUUUGAGAAGGCUCUACAGCAGGUGCAGGCUGUGGUCCAAGAGCAGGAAGGCAGCAGAAAGGAGAAGUGGAAGGCCAAAAUGAGUGGAGAGAACAAACUAACAUAAGAAAGCUUAAAGCAGGAGAAAGACUGUGACUUCAGCUUUUAGUAUAUUAUUGUUAUAACAUGCCUGAUAAUUUUGAGAGGUGAAGCCAGCUGGACUUCUUGGGUCGAGUGAGGACAUGGAGAACUUUUCUAUCUAAAGGUUUGUAAACACACAAAUCAGCACUCUGUAAAAACGC